rnacentral:rRNA from 1 species
CCUACGGGAGGCAGCAGUGGGGAAUAUUGCGCAAUGGGCGAAAGCCUGACGCAGCGACGCCGCGUGAGGGAUGAAGGUCUUCGGAUCGUAAACCUCUGUCAGCAGGGAAGAACGGUCACUGUGCUAAUCAGCAGUGAAUUGACGGUACCUGCAAAGGAAGCACCGGCUAACUCCGUGCCAGCAGCCGCGGUAAUACGGAGGGUGCGAGCGUUAAUCGGAAUUACUGGGCGUAAAGCGCUCGUAGGCGGUAUGUCAAGUCAAGGGUGAAAUCCCCGCGCUCAACGUGGGAACUGCCUUUGAAACUGGCAGACUGGAGUGUGUGAGCGGAUAGUGGAAUGCCAGGUGUAGGAGUGAAAUCCGUAGAGAUCUGGAGGAACAUCAGUGGCGAAGGCGACUAUCUGGCACAUAACUGACGCUGAGGAGCGAAAGCGUGGGUAGCAAACAGGAUUAGAUACCCUUGUAGUC